CAGGAAGUAGGCAUGGAAUCUAAAUUUAAUUCUGGGUUGUGGGUGAGUAAAUGGAAUUGGGGGUGGUGCUUAAGGAGGAUACAUAGAGCGGCCAUCUUGGGAAGUGGCCAUUUUAACUAAAGCUUUCCAAUUAGUUGUUGCUGGAAGGUCUGUGUUGGUUUCCCUUUUGUCUUGCGGAUGGAUCCGUUAGAAGUGCUCCUGGCAGGCGUCCAAGCGGCGGUGAGAGAUCUGGGGAUGGCCUGACUACAAGAACAGCUCAGAGCCGCAGGGCCAUCUUCGGGGCAGAUUCAGCGCACCGGCCCACGCGGAGAACGCGGCCGAGUCCGGUUGCUGUGCCUGCUCUACGGCGCCGUCUGAGUCCCUCGGCAGAUCGUGAUGGGGAGGCUGUCUCGGCUGUGGCAGGACCAGAGAGUGCGGCCUGCACCGUCUGUUCGAUGUGGUGCUGGCCAGGGGAGGAUGACAGCCCGUCUCUUUGUGUGGAGUGUGCCCCAUUGCAAUGCGGGCGGUGGGCUCCCACGUGGAAGGGAGUAUGGCCGGGUCCAGCGGCAUUGUUGGAGGCGCCCAUACGUCCUACGGUG